AGGCAAGGGUGCUUACAAUGCAGUCGAACGCUGAAGCUUGGUGCUUGCCUGGGUGGAUGAUGGCGAACGGGUGAGUAAUACGUGAGUAACCUGCCCUUGACUCUGGGAUAAGCCUGGGAAACUGGGUCUAAUACUGGAUACGACAUGUCACCGCAUGGGGGUGUGUGGAAAGGGUUUUACUGGUUUUGGAUGGGCUCACGGCCUAUCAGCUUGUUGGUGGGGUAAUGGCUCACCAAGGCGACAACGGGUAGCCGGCCUGAAAGGGUGACCGGCCACACUGGGACUGAAACACGGCCCAAACUCCUACGGGAGGCAGCAGUGGGGAAUAUUGCACAAUGGGCGAAAGCCUGAUGCAGCGACGCCGCGUGAGGGAUGACGGCCUUCGGGUUGUAAACCUCUUUCAGCACGGAAAAAGCGAAAGUGACGGUACGUGCAGAAGAAGCGCCGGCUAACUACGUGCCAGCAGCCGCGGUAAUACGUAGGGCGCAAGCGUUGUCCGGAAUUAUUGGGCGUAAAGAGCUCGUAGGCGGUUUGUCGCGUCUGCUGUGAAAGCCCGGGGCUUAACCCCGGGUGUGCAGUGGGUACGGGCAGACUUGAGUGCAGUAGGGGAGACUGGAAUUCCUGGUGUAGCGGUGAAAUGCGCAGAUAUCACGAGGAACACCGAUGGCGAAAGCAGGUCUCUGGGCUGUUACUGACGCUGAGGAGCGAAAGCAUGGGGAGCGAACAGGAUUAGAUACCCUGGUAGUCCAUGCCGUAAACGUUGGGCACUAGGUGUGGGGAACAUUCCACGUUUUCCGCGCCGUAGCUAACGCAUUAAGUGCCCCGCCUGGGGAGUACGGCCGCAAGGCUAAAACUCAAAGGAAUUGACGGGGCCCGCACAAGCGGCGGAGCAUGCUGAUUAAUUCGAUGCAACGCGAAAACCUUACCAAGCCUGACAUACCCGGAACCGGUCAGAGAAUGUCUUUCCCCCUUGGGGGGCUGGUGUACAGGUGGUGCAUGCUGUCGUCAGCCUCGUUCGUGAAAUGUAGGUAAAGUCCAGCACGAGGCCAUCUCUUCUAUGUGCAGCGGAUGUGGGACUCAAGGAACUGCGGGUCACUCGAGAAGGUGGGGAUACUCAAAUCUACAUUGCCCUUAUGUCUGCCUCACGCAUGUUCAAUGGCCAGUACAUUAAUCGGAAUCCAAGUGACUAUCAGACGGUUUCCACUAUGUUCGGAGACUCCGGGUUUCUGAAAUCG
rnacentral:rRNA from 1 species